rnacentral:rRNA from 1 species
UACGUAGGGGGCAAGCGUUGUCCGGAAUCAUUGGGCGUAAAGCGCGUGUAGGCGGCUCGGUAAGUCUGCUGUGAAAGUCCAGGGCUCAACCCUGGGAUGCCGGUGGAUACUGUCGAGCUCGAGUCCGGAAGAGGCGAGUGGAAUUCCUGGUGUAGCGGUGAAAUGCGCAGAUAUCAAGAGGAACACCAAUGGCGAAGGCAGCUCGCUGGGACGUGACUGACGCUGAGACGCGAAAGCGUGGAGAGCAAACAGG